rnacentral:rRNA from 1 species
GGGUUGUGAGGUUAAGCGACUAAGCGUACACGGUGGAUGCCCUGGCAGUCAGAGGCGAUGAAGGACGUGCUAAUCUGCGAUAAGCGUCGGUAAGGUGAUAUGAACCAUUAUAACCGGCGAUUUCCGAAUGGGGAAACCCAGUGUGAUUCGUCACACUAUCAUUAACUGAAUCCAUAGGUUAAUGAGGCGAACCGGGGGAACUGAAACAUCUAAGUACCCCGAGGAAAAGAAAUCAACCGAGAUUCCCCCAGUAGCGGCGAGCGAACGGGGAGCAGCCCAGAGCCUGAAUCAGUGUGUGUGUUAGUGGAAGCGUCUGGAAAGGCGUGCGAUACAGGGUGACAGCCCCGUACACAAAAAUGCACAUAUUGUGAGCUCGAUGAGUAGGGCGGGACACGUGGUAUCCUGUCUGAAUAUGGGGGGACCAUCCUCCAAGGCUAAAUACUCCUGACUGACCGAUAGUGAACCAGUACCGUGAGGGAAAGGCGAAAAGAACCCCGGCGAGGGGAGUGAAAAAGAACCUGAAACCGUGUACGUACAAGCAGUGGGAGCACGCUUAGGCGUGUGACUGCGUACCUUUUGUAUAAUGGGUCAGCGACUUAUAUUCUGUAGCAAGGUUAACCGAAUAGGGGAGCCGAAGGGAAACCGAGUCUUAACUGGGCGUUAAGUUGCAGGGUAUAGACCCGAAACCCGGUGAUCUAGCCAUGGGCAGGUUGAAGGUUGGGUAACACUAACUGGAGGACCGAACCGACUAAUGUUGAAAAAUUAGCGGAUGACUUGUGGCUGGGGGUGAAAGGCCAAUCAAACCGGGAGAUAGCUGGUUCUCCCCGAAAGCUAUUUAGGUAGCGCCUCGUGAAUUCAUCUCCGGGGGUAGAGCACUGUUUCGGCAAGGGGGUCAUCCCGACUUACCAACCCGAUGCAAACUGCGAAUACCGGAGAAUGUUAUCACGGGAGACACACGGCGGGUGCUAACGUCCGUCGUGAAGAGGGAAACAACCCAGACCGCCAGCUAAGGUCCCAAAGUCAUGGUUAAGUGGGAAACGAUGUGGGAAGGCCCAGACAGCCAGGAUGUUGGCUUAGAAGCAGCCAUCAUUUAAAGAAAGCGUAAUAGCUCACUGGUCGAGUCGGCCUGCGCGGAAGAUGUAACGGGGCUAAACCAUGCACCGAAGCUGCGGCAGCGACGCUGAUGCGUUGUUGGGUAGGGGAGCGUUCUGUAAGCCUGUGAAGGUGUGCUGUGAGGUAUGCUGGAGGUAUCAGAAGUGCGAAUGCUGACAUAAGUAACGAUAAAGCGGGUGAAAAGCCCGCUCGCCGGAAGACCAAGGGUUCCUGUCCAACGUUAAUCGGGGCAGGGUGAGUCGACCCCUAAGGCGAGGCCGAAAGGCGUAGUCGAUGGGAAACAGGUUAAUAUUCCUGUACUUGGUGUUACUGCGAAGGGGGGACGGAGAAGGCUAUGUUGGCCGGGCGACGGUUGUCCCGGUUUAAGCGUGUAGGCUGGUUUUCCAGGCAAAUCCGGAAAACUAAGGCUGAGGCGUGAUGACGAGGCACUACGGUGCUGAAGCAACAAAUGCCCUGCUUCCAGGAAAAGCCUCUAAGCAUCAGGUAACAUCAAAUCGUACCCCAAACCGACACAGGUGGUCAGGUAGAGAAUACCAAGGCGCUUGAGAGAACUCGGGUGAAGGAACUAGGCAAAAUGGUGCCGUAACUUCGGGAGAAGGCACGCUGAUAUGUAGGUGAAGUCCCUCGCGGAUGGAGCUGAAAUCAGUCGAAGAUACCAGCUGGCUGCAACUGUUUAUUAAAAACACAGCACUGUGCAAACACGAAAGUGGACGUAUACGGUGUGACGCCUGCCCGGUGCCGGAAGGUUAAUUGAUGGGGUCAGCGCAAGCGAAGCUCUUGAUCGAAGCCCCGGUAAACGGCGGCCGUAACUAUAACGGUCCUAAGGUAGCGAAAUUCCUUGUCGGGUAAGUUCCGACCUGCACGAAUGGCGUAAUGAUGGCCAGGCUGUCUCCACCCGAGACUCAGUGAAAUUGAACUCGCUGUGAAGAUGCAGUGUACCCGCGGCAAGACGGAAAGACCCCGUGAACCUUUACUAUAGCUUGACACUGAACAUUGAGCCUUGAUGUGUAGGAUAGGUGGGAGGCUUUGAAGUGUGGACGCCAGUCUGCAUGGAGCCGACCUUGAAAUACCACCCUUUAAUGUUUGAUGUUCUAACGUUGACCCGUAAUCCGGGUUGCGGACAGUGUCUGGUGGGUAGUUUGACUGGGGCGGUCUCCUCC